rnacentral:lncRNA from 1 species
GGGCGAGGAGAUUGUUUGCUCAGCAUUUUAAAGCCUCGUUCUCGGGAUCUACCUGCUGAGAAGAGGGUGAAGAAAAUGUCGACAGAGGGAGUAAUCCCUAGCUCGUGGCAGAAGGCAAUGAAUGCCAAUAUGUGGAUGUAGGAAUUGGGCACUAGCUGAGCGAAACCCACUCCUAUGAACCCUAGGAGGGUAACAACGAAAACGUGAAGGGGUAGACGAAUCCCCUUUUCUAGAAA